rnacentral:lncRNA from 1 species
CUCACUCUUCUAACCCCCACCAGUUUAGCUCCACUGGAAAGGCCACCAGAGCAGGCUCGGUGGGUCCUGCAGACCUGCAGUGCAGGGUCCUCUCUUUCUCCCUUUAAAGAUAGGAUAAUCGACGGGCAUGGUGGCACACACUUUUGGUACCAGCACUCUGGAGGCUGAGUCUCUAUAAAUGCUCAUAUUCGUAAGCAGGGAGGGGCCCCAACUCAAGACAGCGUACAGAAGUUGCAGUGGUUAACAUAGAAAUCGAAACUAUGUAAAGUGCAGAGUGUCAGGGGAGUGAGUGCCCGGGCACCAAUUGGUUCUCUCUAUGGCACACACUCCCACAAGGCUUCCAGAACACAGCACACAGUGGAAGAGGGGAGGGAAAGAUUGAUUGUAAGCCAGAUGUGGGUGUGUGACCGGAGUGACACUGUCUUCCAGAUAUGGGAUACGGUAGAAUCACCGUGCUCACAAGCUCACAGUGCCCCAUAGUUGCCUUCACAAGACCUGUACAAGACCCAGCCUGUCAAUAAUUCCUGUAUGGAAUUUAAGGCAUUCAUGAGCCCCCGCCCCUAACUGAGGAGCUGUAGACAGUUAAUAGCUUAUGAGAGAAGGGGUGGAAAGAGUUUUCUUUAAGGGUGUGGUUUCCCAGUUGGUUGACCAUGCUCCAGUGGAUAGUCCCAUACCCAGAUGAAUGUGGGCAGCACAAAUUAUUUAAAAACCAGGAAGACAGGGAGUAUAUGGAUUAAUCUGAGAGGGGGUAGGGAGAAGAGUGGAGAGUGGGUAUGACCAAAAUAUUCUGUAUGAAACUGUCAAGGAAUUAAUUAUAUAUCUAUAUCCCUGUAUAAAGGAUUCUUUAUCUAUAUCCAUAUCCAUGUCCAUAUCUAUAUAAAGGAAUAGUCCAGGCUGAGGAGGUGGCUCUGUGCUUAAGCUUGCACUGCAGUCGCCCCAGGCAGUUCACAAUUGCCUGUGACUUCAGCUACAGAGGAUUUGACAUCUUCUUCUGCUCUCUCUGUGGGCACUUACAUGCAUGCACACACACAUAGAUACACAUAUAUGUACUCAUUUUAAAAAAAAAACUUUAAAAGGAAUAAUCUGAAUUAAGCGGUAAGCCUUGAGAAGGUAAGGGCCACCACGUUCACUUGAUCCCAGACAUCUCAAUAACAUGAUCAAUCAAAAGAUGUUUAAUAG